CUCCUCCCUCUUCCCCCGCCCUUCUCUCCUCCUCCUCCAGCCUCUUCUCUCUCCUUCCCCCUCCUCUUCCCUUGAACCCCCCCAACCCCCUUUUGUCCCAAACUGUGGCACAAUAGCCCUCAGCUCCUCCAUCUAUUCUGUGUCCAGCAGGAGCCAGUGUGGUGAUUCAUUGCUCCAAUUAGGGGCUCUCUCCAGCCCUGGCUCAUGCUGUCUGGAGGGUCCCCUCGGGACCUGCGGAACCCAUCAGCCGCUGCCGCUGGUCUUUAAGGAAAGGUCAAACAGGACACACAGAAGCCAGGUGAGCAAAAUGCCAAGAUGUCUUUGUAUCAGCUUCACACCCCGAAGUGAGCCCAGCACCCACCCUGCCCAUUGCAGAUGUGCGGAGUUCAAAGUGGAUGGAGAUGUCCACAUAUCCUGGCUAAGAGCCCCAGAGUCCAGCCUCAGUGGCCCCGACAGAGCCAUCACUGUGCCCCACGGCCCUGCUGGCAGCUUGGAGACCCCACAAUCCCUCUCUGCUUCUCUGUCUUCAAGGCCUGGAAACCUCAAAGCUGCAGACAGCCCUGGCACUGGGCAGCAAGCACACCAGCCACAGGUCCCAUGGAGGCCUCCGUGCACCGCGUCUGUACACAGCUCACAUCUGCAGCUGCCCAGGGUGGAUGGGGGAAACCUUCAUCUUGGACCCUGCCCCUAGCUGCCUCCAGCUCCCAGCUCACAUCACAUGGUGCUGUGUCUGUCUCCCCCCUGCGUCUCCUGAGAGCCAGAGCUGGGCUGGCCUGCCUCAAGCUGUCCCAGUUUCAAAGGACCAGGAACAUAAACCACCUCAUGGUGGCUUCCAUUCUAGAAUUAAUGGCUAUAGGGAGGGAGGGUACCCAGCUGUGAUUCCAACACCCUGGAGAUGGAUGGCAAAUUCAAGGCUAGCCUGGGCUUCAGAGUAAGACCCUGUCCUAAAAAAUAAAAACGGGGAGGGGGGUU